AACGAACGCUGGCGGUGUGCUUCACACAUGCAAGUCGAACGAGGUAGCAAUACCUAGUGGCGGACGGGUGAGUAACGCGUGGGAAUCUGCCCUGGGGUGGGGGAUAACUAGUCGAAAGAUUAGCUAAUACCGCAUAUGCCGUGAGGUAAAAGGAGUAAUCCGCCCGAGGAUGAGCCUGCGUCCGAUUAGCUAGUUGGUAGGGUAAAAGCCUACCAAGGCUACGAUCGGUAGCUGGUCUGAGAGGAUGAUCAGCCACAAUGGGACUGAGACACGGCCCAUACUCCUACGGGAGGCAGCAGUGGGGAAUUUUACGCAAUGGGGGAAACCCUGACGUAGCGACACCGCGUGAGCGAAGAAGCCCUUUGGGGUGUAAAGCUCUGUCAGCAGGAACGAAUAAAUGACGGUACCUGCAGAGGAAGCAUCGGCUAACUACGUGCCAGCAGCCGCGGUAAU
rnacentral:rRNA from 1 species